CCUACGGGUGGCAGCAGUGGGGAAUAUUGCGCAAUGGGCGAAAGCCUGACGCAGCGACGCCGCGUGAGGGAUGAAGGUCUUCGGAUCGUAAACCUCUGUCAGCAGGGAAGAACGGUCACUGUGCUAAUCAGCAGUGAAUUGACGGUACCUGCACAGGAAGCACCGGCUAACUCCGUGCCAGCAGCCGCGGUAAUACGGAGGGUGCGAGCGUUAAACGGAAUUAUUGGGCGUAAAGCGCUCGUAGGCGGUAUGUCAAGUCAAGGGUGAAAUCCCCGGGCUCAACGUGGGAACUGCAUUUGAAACUGGCAAACUGGAGUGUGUGAGAGGAGAGUGGAAUUCCAGGUGUAGGAGUGAAAUCCGUAGAUAUCUGGAGGAACAUCAGUGGCGAAGGCGACUAUCUGGCACAUAACUGACGCUGAGGAGCGAAAGCGUGGGUAGCAAACAGGAUUAGAUACCCCAGUAGUC
rnacentral:rRNA from 1 species